GGGUCAGUAGGUUGGUCGUGCCACCGGUACGUACUGGUCUCACUGAUUCCUCCUUCCUGAAGAACCGUAAUGCCGUUAAUUUGGCGUUGCGGGGAAACAGGACUGUUACUUUGAAAAAAUUAGAGUGUUUAAAGCAAGCUAACGCUUGAAUACAUUAGCAUGGAAUAAUGAAAUAGGACGAUCGAUCCUAUUUUGUUGGUUUCUAGGAUUGACGUA
rnacentral:rRNA from 1 species